GACAUGCAGAGAACUUUCCAGAGAUGGAUUGGUGCCUUCGGGAACGUCUGACACAGGUGCUGCAUGGCUGUCGUCAGCUCGUGCGUGAGAUGUUGGGUUAAGUCCGUAACGAGCGCAACCCUUGUCCUUAGUUACCAGCACGUUAUGGUGGGCACUCUAAGGAGACUGCCGGUGGACAAACCGGAGGAAGGUGGGGAUGACGUCAAGUCAUCAUGGCCCUUACGGCCUGGGCUACACACGUGCUACAAUGGUCGGUACAAAGGGUUGCCAAGCCGCGAGGUGGAGCUAAUCCCAUAAAACCGAUCGUAGUCCGGAUCGCAGUCUGCAACUCGACUGCGUGAAGUCGGAAUCGCUAGUAAUCGUGAAUCAGAAUGUCACGGUGAAUACGUUCCCGGGCCUU
rnacentral:rRNA from 1 species